rnacentral:tRNA from 1 species
GGAUUGUGGCUUACUGGUAGAGCGCUCGCCUAACACGAGUGGGACCCGGGUUGGAUUCUCAGCACCA